UUUUUUUUUUUUUAGAUCUCAUCUGCUCGUUGUUAAUCUUUCACAGUCAGUCUUCUUGUAGAUGUGAUAGGGAAGGCAAGAAACAGUCUAGCACUAGGACCCAGGCAAAGGGGCAGAGUCUAUAAAUAGGGGAGGGAAGCUCACCUGGAUCUUUCUUGCUGCAGUCAGACACACCUGAGUAGGCAGCUGAGGCCAGCCUUUGUUUGGUGCUUGAUUUGAAGCUUCAUGGUUGUGAGGGUCCAAAGCUUGGAGUGAUUGUUUAAACACAUCAGCUAAAGCACAGAUUCCAGUCACCUGCCUGUCUUCAGGGGAAUGUGCUUCUAAGUCAAGCAAGGGUUGUCCAGGUAUAGAAGGAUUGGCAGGAUGUUCCAGCAGUGUCUGUCUGCCAUCUUGGUUUCAGAGGAGGUUCCCUUGUAGUUACAACUAACCACUGAAUAAACCUCAAUGGAGGGGGGCAGCAGAGAGCAUUCUAAUGGCUGAUGUGCAAUUCCACCCUAGAAACUAUUGCAUUUUGGAGAAAAUGACUUUUAAACAGCUGUCCACUGUAGUGACCGCUAUGCACCAGAGGGUUAAGGGGAAAUUUAAGGGAAACUUGUAGACCAGGUCCAGAGCCAAAACCACUGUACCUAUACUUGUCAAAUCUGGACUAAAUUAUCCAAGACAGGAUAAAGAUUGUUAAAAACCCAGUUUCAGAUUUGUGAAAGCUUUAUUCUAUUUGUGAAAAUGCAAUUAAGGGAGAUUUUACUGUUUUUUUCAUAUGUAGACCACACUGGACCAGGUCCAGAUCCAAAACCACUACACCUAGA